rnacentral:rRNA from 1 species
CCUACGGGUGGCUGCAGUGGGGAAUAUUGGACAAUGGGCGAAAGCCUGAUCCAGCCAUGCCGCGUGUGUGAAGAAGGCCUUCGGGUUGUAAAGCACUUUCAGUGGGGAAGAAAGCCUUGGGGCUAAUACCCUCGAGGAAGGACAUCACCCACAGAAGAAGCACCGGCUAACUCCGUGCCAGCAGCCGCGGUAAUACGGAGGGUGCGAGCGUUAAUCGGAAUUACUGGGCGUAAAGCGCGCGUAGGCGGUCUGAUAAGCCGGUUGUGAAAGCCCCGGGCUCAACCUGGGAACGGCCUCCGGAACUGUCAGGCUAGAGUGCAGGAGAGGAAGGUAGAAUUCCCGGUGUAGCGGUGAAAUGCGUAGAGAUCGGGAGGAAUACCAGUGGCGAAGGCGGCCUUCUGGACUGACACUGACGCUGAGGUGCGAAAGCGUGGGUAGCAAACAGGAUUAGAUACCCCUGUAGUC